UACAGAGGUGGCAAGCGUUGUUCGGAAUUACUGGGCGUAAAGGGCGCGUAGGCGGCCUUCUAAGUCAGACGUGAAAUCCCCAGGCUUAACUUGGGAACUGCGUCUGAUACUGGGAGGCUUGAGUGCGGGAGAGGGAUGUGGAAUUCCAGGUGUAGCGGUGAAAUGCGUAGAUAUCUGGAGGAACACCGGUGGCGAAGGCGGCAUCCUGGACCGACACUGACGCUGAGGUGCGAAAGCGUGGGGAGCAAACAGG
rnacentral:rRNA from 1 species